UUGCUAUUUUCAUGAAGAGCGGCGAACGGGUGAGUAACGCGUGGGAAAUCUGCCGAGUAGCGGGGGACAACGUUUGGAAACGAACGCUAAUACCGCAUAACAAUGAGAAUCGCAUGAUUCUUAUUUGAAAGAAGCAAUUGCUUCACUACUUGAUGAUCCCGCGUUGUAUUAGCUAGUUGGUAGUGUAAAGGACUACCAAGGCGAUGAUACAUAGCCGACCUGA
rnacentral:rRNA from 1 species